rnacentral:rRNA from 1 species
AGCUGCGGUGAGGUGUGAGCAACCUUUGACCCGCAGAUUUCCGAAUGGGGAAACCCACCCAUCCCGUUUAUCUUUUCCGUGAGCAUCUGUUCGCGGCGAGGGUAAAUGGUGGUGAGGUAUCACUUAGCUGAAUCAUAGGCUUCGUGAAGCGAACCCGGCGAACUGAAACAUCUCAGUAGCUGGAGGAAAAGACAUCAACCGAGAUUCCGUUAGUAGUGGCGAGCGAACGCGGACCAGGCCAGUGCCUGAAUUUCAACUAGCAGAAACCUUUGGAAAGAGGUGCCAUAGCGGGUGACAGCCCCGUAUGCGAAAGUGAGAAUUCAGGACUUGAGUAGGGCGGGACACGUGUAAUCCUGUCUGAACAUAGGGGGACCACCCUCUAAGCCUAAAUACUCGUAUGCGACCGAUAGUGAACUAGUACCGUGAGGGAAAGGUGAAAAGCACCCCGAUGAGGGGAGUGAAACAGUACCUGAAACGGAUUGCCUACAAGCAGUUGGAGGGUCCUUGAGGCCUGACAGCGUACCUCUUGCAUAAUGGGUCUGUGACUUAAUGUAUCAAGCAAGCUUAAGCCGUUAGGUGUAGGCGCAGCGAAAGCGAGUCUGAAUAGGGCGCCAGAGUUUGAUGUAUUAGACCCGAAACCCGGCGAUCUAGGCAUGACCAGGAUGAAGGUGCGGUAACACGCACUGGAGGUCCGAACCGAUUAACGUUGAAAAGUUACCGGAUGAGUUGUGUUUAGGGGUGAAAGGCCAAUCAAGCCGGGAAAUAGCUGGUUCUCCGCGAAAACUAUUGAGGUAGUGCCUCGAGCGAAUACCGUAGGGGGUAGAGCACUGGAUGGAUGCGGGGGUCGCGAGACCUACCAACUCUAACCAAACUCCGAAUACCUACGAGUACUACUCGGGAGACAGACGGCGGGUGCUAAGGUCCGUCGUCAAAAGGGAAACAGCCCUGACCUACAGCUAAGGUCCCCAAGUCAUCACUAAGUGGGAAAGCAUGUGGAACUUCCAAAACAACCAGGAGGUUGGCUUAGAAGCAGCCAUCCUUUAAAGAAAGCGUAACAGCUCACUGGUCUAAAUAAGAGGUUCUGCGGCGAAGAUGUAACGGGGCUAAAGUGAUGCACCGAAGCUUAGGGUGUGGCGUAAGCCACGCGGUAGCGGAGCGUUCCGUAAGCCUGUGAAGCGAUCUGGUAAUGGGUCGUGGAGGUAUCGGAAGUGCGAAUGCAGACAUGAGUAGCGAUAAAAAGGGUGAGAUGCCCUUUCGCCGAAAGACCAAGGGUUCCUGCGCAAGGCUAAUCCGCGCAGGGUGAGCCGGCCCCUAAGACGAGCCCGAAGGGGGUAGUCGAUGGGAACCACGUUAAUAUUCGUGGGCCUGGUGGUGUGUGACGGAUCUCGUGUGUUGUUCUCCCUUAUUGGAUUGGGAGGGCUUCGAAGAGGUUCCAGGAAAUAGCCCCACCGUAUAGACCGUACCCGAAACCGACACAGGUGGUCAGGUAGAGUAUACCAAGGCGCUUGAGAGAAGUGUCCUGAAGGAACUCGGCAAAUUGCCUCCGUACCUUCGGAAGAAGGAGGCCCUCAUCGUGCGCAAGCAUUUUGAGGGGGCACAGGCCAGGGGGUAGCGACUGUUUAGCAAAAACACAGGGCUCUGCUAAGUCGGCUUCAAGACGACGUAUAGGGCCUGACGCCUGCCCGGUGCCUGAAGGUUAAGUGGAGGGGUGCAAGCUCUGAAAUGAAGCCCAGGUAAACGGCGGCCGUAACUAUAACGGUCCUAAGGUAGCGAAAUUCCUUGUCGGGUAAGUUCCGACCUGCACGAAUGGCGUAACGACUUCCCCACUGUCUCCAGGACAUGCUCAGCGAAAUUGAAUUCCCCGUGAAGAUGCGGGGUUCCCGCGGUUAGACGGAAAGACCCCGUGCACCUUUACUGCAGCUUCAGAGUGGCAUUAGGAAAGAACUGUGUAGCAUAGGUGGGAGGCUUUGAAGCGUUGGCGCCAGCUGACGUGGAGCCAUAGGUGAAAUACCACCCUGUUUUUUCUGAUGUCUAAACCUCGAUCCA